GCCGGUGUGGCGGAAUGGCAGACGCGACGGACUCAAAAUCCGUUGUUGGCGACAACGUGUGGGUUCAAGUCCCACCACCGGUACCA
rnacentral:tRNA from 1 species